rnacentral:lncRNA from 1 species
UCCUCCGGGCAGAGCGCGUGUGGCGGCCGAGCACAUGGGCCCGCGGGCCGGGCGGGCUCGGGGCGGCCGGGACGAGGAGGGGCGACGACGAGCUGCGAGCAAAGAUGUGCCCCGGGACCCCCGGCACCUUCCAGUGGAUUUCCUUGCGGAAAGGAUGUUGGCGGUCCCUGUGACCUGUGGAGACACGGCCAGAUCUGCCCUCCAGAUUUAUUAGGAGAAAAACCUUCCCGGAAGCUGCAGAAGGACAAAUACAGAAUCCGUGUCUGGGAGAAACCUCGUGGCCUGGUCUCCAUUAUUUGAGAUGAGUUACAUCUUGGAGGUGAGGACGUGCCUCGUGGUCUAAAGCUUCGGCACAAGGGCCCAACUGGAAUUCCACUUACGGGCCUGAUCUUUUGGCCAGAAGGAGAUUAAAAAGAUGCCCCUCAAGAUGGCUGUGCCUGUCAGCUGCAUGGAGCUUCGUUCAAGUAUUUUCUGAGCCUGAUGGAUUUACAGUGAUCUUCAGUGGUCUGGGGAAUAACGCUGGUGGAACCAUGCACUGGAAUGACACACGCCCGGCACAUUUCAGGAUACUAAAAGUGGUUUUAAGGGAGGCUGUGGCUGAAUGCCUCAUGGAUUCUUACAGCUUGGAUGUCCAUGGGGGACGAAGGACUGCAGCUGGCUGAGAGGGUUGAGAUCUCUGUUUACUUAGAUCUCUGCCAACUUCCUUUGGGUCUCCCUAUGGAAUGUAAGACCCCGACUCUUCCUGGUGAAGCAUCUGAUGCACGUUCCAUCCGGCGCUCAGCUGGGCUUGAGGACUUCGCAGGUGAGCAGUAACGGAAAUCAGCCCCGUUUAUUCCUCCCAGCACCUGCCUUAUCCAACUCCCCACGCUGUGGCUGAGUCCCAGCCUGCUAUGGAAGCAUCACUGGACUCCCAUUGAACUCUGUGCAGAUUCGCUGUUCGUAGACAUGGUACCUGAUGGACACCAAGCUACGUACAGCUUCAAGGCCCCUUCUUUCUUUGCUAAUAAAAAAUAAAAAAUAAAAACAUAAUACACGU